UCGAGGAUCUUCGGCAAUAGGCGCAAGCCUGACCGAGCGACGCCGCGUGUGCGACGAAGGCCUUCGGGUUGUAAAGCACUGUCGAGGGGGAGGAAAGCCCGCAAGGGUCUGACCUAUCCCUGGAGGAAGCACGGGCUAAGUUCGUGCCAGCAGCCGCGGUAAGACGAACCGUGCGAACGUUGUUCGGAAUCACUGGGCUUAAAGGGCGCGUAGGCGGGCUGCCAAGUCCGGGGUGAAAUCCCCCCGCUCAACGGGGGAAUGGCCUGGGAUACUGGCGGCCUCGAGGGGGGUAGGGGCGUGCGGAACUGUGGGUGGAGCGGUGAAAUGCGCUGAUAUCCACAGGAACUCCGGUGACGAAGGCGGCACGCUGGACCCCUCCUGACGCUGAGGUGCGAAAGCGUGGGGAGCAAACA
rnacentral:rRNA from 1 species